rnacentral:rRNA from 1 species
UUAUGAAUAAGGAUCGGCUAACUCCGUGCCAGCAGCCGCGGUAAUACGGAGGAUCCGAGCGUUAUCCGGAUUUAUUGGGUUUAAAGGGAGCGUAGGCGGGUUGUUAAGUCAGUUGUGAAAGUUUGCGGCUCAACCGUAAAAUUGCAGUUGAUACUGGCGACCUUGAGUGCAACAGAGGUAGGCGGAAUUCGUGGUGUAGCGGUGAAAUGCUUAGAUAUCACGAAGAACUCCGAUUGCGAAGGCAGCUUACUGGAUUGUAACUGACGCUGAUGCUCGAAAGUGUGGGUAUCAAACAGGAUUAGAUACCCUGGUAGUCCACACAGUAAACGAUGAAUACUCGCUGUUUGCGAUAUACAGUAAGCGGCCAAGCGAAAGCAUUAAGUAUUCCACCUGGGGAGUACGCCGGCAACGGUGAAACUCAAAGGAAUUGACGGGGGCCCGCACAAGCGGAGGAACAUGUGGUUUAAUUCGAUGAUACGCGAGGAACCUUACCCGGGCUUGAAUUGCAACUGAAUGAUGUGGAGACAUGUCAGCCGCAAGGCAGUUGUGAAGGUGCUGCAUGGUUGUCGUCAGCUCGUGCCGUGAGGUGUCGGCUUAAGUGCCAUAACGAGCGCAACCCUUGCCGAUAGUUACUAACAGGUUAUGCUGAGGACUCUGUCGGGACUGCCAUCGUAAGAUGUGAGGAAGGUGGGGAUGACGUCAAAUCAGCACGGCCCUUACGUCCGGGGCUACACACGUGUUACAAUGGGGGGUACAGAAGGCAGCUACCUGGUGACAGGAUGCUAAUCCCAAAAACCUCUCUCAGUUCGGAUCGAAGUCUGCAACCCGACUUCGUGAAGCUGGAUUCGCUAGUAAUCGCGCAUCAGCCAUGGCGCGGUGAAUACGUUCCCGGGCCUUGUACACACCGCCCGUCAAGCCAUGGGAGCCGGGGGUACCUGAAGUGCGUAACCGCAAGGAGCGCCCUAGGGUAAAACUGGUGACUGGGGCUAAGUCGUAACAAGGUAGCCGUACCGGAAGGUGCGGCUG